rnacentral:rRNA from 1 species
UACAGAGGUCCCCAGCGUUUUUCGGAAUUACUGGGCGUAAAGCGCGUGUAGGCUGCUCGGACAGGCGGAUGUGAAAGCCCUGGGCUCAACCCAGGAAGUGCACUCGAAACUCCCGAGCUGGAGUCCCGGAGAGGAAGGCGGAAUUCUCGGUGUAGAGGUGAAAUUCGUAGAUAUCGAGAGGAACAUCGGUGGCGAAGGCGGCCUUCUGGACGGUGACUGACGCUGAGACGCGAAAGCGUGGGGAGCAAACAGG